rnacentral:rRNA from 1 species
GACGAACGCUGGCGGCGUGCUUAACACAUGCAAGUCGAACGGAAAGGCCCUGCUUUUGUGGGGUGCUCGAGUGGCGAACGGGUGAGUAACACGUGAGUAACCUGCCCUUGACUUUGGGAUAACUUCAGGAAACUGGGGCUAAUACCGGAUAGGAGCUCCUGCUGCAUGGUGGGGGUUGGAAAGUUUCGGCGGUUGGGGAUGGACUCGCGGCUUAUCAGCUUGUUGGUGGGGUAGUGGCUUACCAAGGCUUUGACGGGUAGCCGGCCUGAGAGGGUGACCGGCCACAUUGGGACUGAGAUACGGGCCAGACUCCUACGGGAGGCAGCAGUGGGGAAUAAUGCACAAUGGGCGGAAGACUGAUGCAGCAACGCCGCGUGCGGGAUGACGGCCUUCGGGUUGUAAACCGCUUUCGCCUGUGACGAAGCGUGAGUGACGGUAAUGGGUAAAGAAGCACCGGCUAACUACGUG